UUUUGUUUGUUUACAAUUCACAUUUUAUAACACAGUGCUCUUCUGUUACAGACAAUGUCAAAGUUGGUGUUUACUCCUUGUUCACUGGCAGCUGUGAGCCAGGAUGCAGCAAUGCCAACUCCCAUCCUGUGAAAAGCAGUGGAAGCAUUUUCACUGCUUGGUUGCUGAGUCUGGUUCCAAUAGUAAGAAAACUAUGACUAAGAAAAACUAA
rnacentral:lncRNA from 1 species